UACAGAGGGGGCAAGCGUUAUUCGGAAUUAUUGGGCGUAAAGAGCUCGUAGGCGGUGUGUCGCGUCGGCCGUGAAAACCUGCAGCUUAACUGUGGGCUUGCGGUCGAUACGGGCAUCACUGGAGUUCGGCAGGGGAGACUGGAAUUCCUGGUGUAGCGGUGAAAUGCGCAGAUAUCAGGAGGAACACCGGUGGCGAAGGCGGCGACCUGGUCCGAUACUGACGCUGAGGCGCGAAAGCGUGGGGAGCAAACAGG
rnacentral:rRNA from 1 species